UACGUAUGGUGCAAGCGUUAUCCGGAUUUACUGGGUGUAAAGGGAGCGCAGGCGGUCUGACAAGUCUGGUGUGAAAGCCCGGGGCUCAACCCCGGGACUGCAUUGGAAACUGUCAGACUAGAGUGUCGGAGAGGUAAGUGGAAUUCCUAGUGUAGCGGUGAAAUGCGUAGAUAUUAGGAGGAACACCAGUGGCGAAGGCGGCUUACUGGACGAUAACUGACGCUGAGGCUCGAAAGCGUGGGGAGCAAACAGG
rnacentral:rRNA from 1 species